GGAACAUAAGGCCAAAGGAAAGGGGUAAUUUAUUGUGGGGAUUGCGUAUUAAUUAGUUUUCUGGAGUUCCUCGGGUAAUUACAACCUGUAACAUUUGUAAUUGAUUUGACGAGAUUAAAAAUGGAUGCUUUGGUUCAUCAGUGAAAUUAGCAAGUGGCCAAGGAGAAGCUGGAGAAGGACAUGUCUCACCUGAGAGAUGAGGAGCCAAAUGGUCUCAGUACAAGCCCCAGACAGCACCUUCCCUGGAGCCAAAACUGAAGCAGGCACCUAAGACUGUACACUCAGCAGGGUAUGAGCGGUUUCUUCUGGAAGACAGCAGAAUAAAAUGAAAAAAAAGUUUAGCUGAGAAACAAGCUAGAAGCAGCAUGUUUCUGCUCAAUAGCAGACUCAAAGGACUACCUCUCUCUUGAUGAUUACUGACUAUCUGAAAAUUCUGAUGGAGACGUCAUCAGAAGACAACAUCGAGUGAUAUUUCUUCCUCUUAUUACCUUGUAACAUGGAUUGUUUAAUUAUGUUGUCUACAGAUUUUGAAUUUUACUUAUUUUUUUCACUAUCUUUUAAACAUUUGGGACUUAUUACAACUCCUUCAUGAAAUUGCUUCCUGUAGGUUACAGAAAUCAUAGUAUGUUGUAGGAGCUGUGACCACAUGGAAUAGAUAUACGUUUCCUGAAUACUCACUGAAUUAAAUUGGAAGCAUGUUAGAUCUUUACAGCAGGAGAGACUUUUAGCUGUUUAAGAUUAAGAGGAAGAAAUCAUGAAAGUGAAUUGAUAAAUCCCUAGGUUCUGUCAUCUAUUUCUUGCUGCCCUAUC